AGUUUGAUCCUGGCUCAGGAUGAACGCUGGCGGCGUGCCUAAUACAUGCAAGUCGAACGCACAGCGAAAGGUGCUUGCACCUUUCAAGUGAGUGGCGAACGGGUGAGUAACACGUGGACAACCUGCCUCAAGGCUGGGGAUAACAUUUGGAAACAGAUGCUAAUACCGAAUAAAACUCAGUGUCGCAUGACACAAAGUUAAAAGGCGCUUUGGCGUCACCUAGAGAUGGAUCCGCGGUGCAUUAGUUAGUUGGUGGGGUAAAGGCCUACCAAGACAAUGAUGCAUAGCCGAGUUGAGAGACUGAUCGGCCACAUUGGGACUGAGACACGGCCCAAACUCCUACGGGAGGCUGCAGUAGGGAAUCUUCCACAAUGGGCGAAAGCCUGAUGGAGCAACGCCGCGUGUGUGAUGAAGGCUUUCGGGUCGUAAAGCACUGUUGUAUGGGAAGAACAGCUAGAAUAGGGAAUGAUUUUAGUUUGACGGUACCAUACCAGAAAGGGACGGCUAAAUACGUGCCAGCAGCCGCGGUAAUACGUAUGUCCCGAGCGUUAUCCGGAUUUAUUGGGCGU
rnacentral:rRNA from 1 species